UGGGGAAUAUUGCACAAUGGGCGCAAGCCUGAUGCAGCAACGCCGCGUGGGUGAAGAAGGCUCUUGGGUCGUAAAGCCCUUUCGGCAGAGAAGAAGGGUGUUUGGUUAAAUAAGCCAGACAUUUGACGGUAUCUGCAUAAGAAGCACCGGCUAAUUUCGUGCCAGCAGCCGCGGUAAUACGAAAGGUGCAAGCGUUGUUCGGAAUUACUGGGCGUAAAGCGCUCGUAGGCGGGAAUUCAGGUCGAUUGUGAAAGCCCAGGGCUCAACCUUGGAAUUGCAGUCGAAACCGUUUUUCUUGAAUACCUGAGAGGGUGGGGGAAUUCCUAGUGGAGAAGUGAAAUUCGUAGAGAUUAGGAGGAACACCAGAGGCGAAGGCGCCUACCUGGCAGUGUAUUGACGCUGAGGAGCGAAAGUGUGGGGAGCAAACAGG
rnacentral:rRNA from 1 species